UACGUAGGGUGCAAGCGUUGUCCGGAAUUAUUGGGCGUAAAGAGCUCGUAGGCGGUCUGUUGCGUCGGCUGUGAAAACCCGGGGCUCAACUCCGGGCCUGCAGCCGAUACGGGCAGACUAGAGUUCGGCAGGGGAGACUGGAAUUCCUGGUGUAGCGGUGAAAUGCGCAGAUAUCAGGAGGAACACCAAUAGCGAAGGCAGCUCGCUGGGACGGUACUGACGCUAAGGCGCGAAAGCGUGGGGAGCGAACAGG
rnacentral:rRNA from 1 species